UACAGAGGGGGCAAGCGUCGUCCGGAUUUAUUGGGCGUAAAGCGCGCGCAGGUGGUUCUUUAAGUCUGAUGUGAAAGCCCACGGCUCAACCGUGGAGGGUCAUUGGAAACUGGGGAACUUGAGUGCAGAAGAGGAAAGUGGAAUUCCAAGUGUAGCGGUGAAAUGCGUAGAGAUUUGGAGGAACACCAGUGGCGAAGGCGACUUUCUGGUCUGUAACUGACACUGAGGCGCGAAAGCGUGGGGAGCAAACAGG
rnacentral:rRNA from 1 species